GCUACGGGACGGGGAGCAGCCGGGCAGGAGGGAACGCAGCAGCAGCAAACCCAAAGCAGGGAGAAGGAAAAGCAUCGCAGCACUGAAACGCAGCUGGCCCAGUGCAGGAGGUUCCCAGCCCUGGGGAAAAGAUGCUGCGUGGUGCCGGCCGCGGGCUGCUGUGCUCUGCUCACAGCUCAGCUGCUCACUAAGGGACUCAGCCGACCAGUUUUCACACCUUAUCCUCAGCUUUCACCAGUUGCCCUCACCCUGUAGAUACCUGGUGACGUGAAAAAAGUCCCAAAGAGCAAAUCCCCACUUUCAAUAAACCUAGUUCCUACAGGAGAAGGUGCUCUGGUUCCUGCUCCUCUUCCCAGCCCUUAGGUACGCACAAGGCAGCGCUCUGGGCGUAAGCACCCAUCCCCAUUGCAGGCACCUGUCCCCAUCCCAGCACAGCGUUGCAGCACACGCGGCAGGAGCCAUGUGUCAGGUCUCCAUGAUACCAACCACGGCUUGGGCAAAGGAGGCAAAGCCCGGAUGGAGGGACGUCGGGUGAGAAAGGGAGCUGGGUCUGCUCCCUCCUAGCUGCAGAGCCCUGCUUUCAGCAGUGCCAUUUAUGGGAUUUGGGAUAAAGCCCACCAUCUGCCCCAAGAAAACCUUGGUAACUUGUGUAUAGAUGUUAUGACUGACCAUCUGAGAUGUGAGAAAAUGCUGUGUCCACUGCAGCCCCUUCUGGGAACACAGCAUGAAAAUGGAAGCUACACGGAAGACGUACGGCAUGUGGAACAUGCAUGGGAGCUGCAUGGAAAAUGAAACAUGGGAGUUGACGGAAGAUGGGAAUGUCAGUCCCCACCAUGCAGCCCUGCCUACGUGGCACCGCCGCCCUGCUGUCCCCCUGAGUUAACGAGAUCCAGGAUUAAUUAACUCAGCACCAGCUGGGCUUAGCAUCACUCUGAACCAGACCUGGCAGUGCCUGGUUUGCUGCUCUGGCUCCAUGGUGCAAAGCUCCUCCUGUGAAUGCAGAGCACCAGGGGGCACCUCCCAGCCCGGCUUUAAUGCUUCAUUUACCCACACAGAGACCUUAAGGUCCCUUCCACCUCUGGCCAUCAGCCAGAGGCCACGAAACCCGUGGGGCACAAGGCAAAGCAACUGGUUCCAGAAUGAUGGGUACAAAUGGGUGCUCCCAGUAACAGUGAUCUUGACACACUGCUACUUUUACAAUGUAGAUUUGCUGGUACCAUCACCUCUGCCUUCCCUCUGUGAAAGUUAGAAUUAGAGACCAGAGCGGGAUCAGCUGAUGGACAGACAACCUGGCUUCAGGUUAGAAAAUCCCCUCACACUGCUGACAGUGACGAGGCCAGAGCUGCCCCGGCUGCACUGAGGUCCCAGCGUGGUGACCCAGCGAGCAGCACUGACCUGCGCUCAGCACAGUCACAGAGUGGUUGGGUAGGAAGGGACCUCACAGCACCCUCAGCCCCAUCCACUACCACGGGCUGGGUGCCCCCCAGCUCAGGCUGCCCACAGCCCUCCAUGGCCUGGGGCACCUCCGGGGAUGGGGAACCCGCAGCUCUGGGCAGCCAUGCCAGUACCUCACAACCUUCAUAGUGAAGAAUUUCCCCCUCGCGUCUAAUUUUCUGAUGGACUCACAAUGGGAGAAUAGAAGAGCAGCCACAUUCUGGUAGCUAAGUGCAUGUUCCGUGUGCUGUUACAGAAGCAGCAGUGGCCACACUGUCCCUGCUCGAUCUCUCUCGUGCUCAGGAUACGUGUGUUUGUUUGCUGCAAGGGGGGAAAGCAAAAGCAUGUGGUGCCAAAGGGACGUCCGCUGGGACGCGGGUGGAGCAGGGCGUCCUCGGAGCCAACGCUGCGGUGGAAAAAACCCAGUGUUGGGAGGAAACAGCUCCUUCUGCCUGCCUGAGGCUUAUGAGCGGGGCAAUCGCAGGCACGAAAGGCUGCAAAGUUCCUUCCUGAGAUCCAAAUAUUAGCUUUUACUCAUUUUCCAUUUCUGAAAACAAAUGCCGCUGGCCUGGAGCGCGCUAGCGAGCGUUUCACUUCCCAGCCCUAGAACAAAGGGCUGCACUGUGGUGCUCUUCCAGCCCUGGGACCGCUGCUGGAGAGGAAUCGAGAAGGCAAAACCCUGCCCUGGGCGUGGAACACAUGCCUGUGCCAUCCAGCAGGAUGUGGAAAAUUGCACUUGAACUGCACUCAGAGGAGCUGGAGCCAUCAGGAGCCUCUCUGGAGGCAGAGAAGUCCCUGUGCGACCACCAUCAUGCUACGGUACCGUGUGGAAGAACCCCACUGCGUUUCCCUGGGCUUUACACCAGGGAUGCUGCAGUGAAGCCCUGAAAUCUUCCAACUGCUUGAGAUCAUCAUACUAAUACGCCCAAUUUAAUUAUUUUUAAGCCAUUCUGGACACUCCCAGGCUGCGGCAUAGAGCCAUUCCAGCACAGGUCCUCACUGCCUCCAUCCACAGGGAUGCUCUGUGUCCACAGGAGAGCCAUGGGGGCAAGGGACACACAAACACACUGUGAGGGCUCGGCACCGUGGGAGAGCAGCACCCAGCACUGUUGUUGCGAAAAUCCUCCACAUUCCUUCAGGCAAUGGGGACUUGGAGCACAUUUUUGGAUGCCGGCUCCUGACUGAGUGCAGCCUCACCCAUCCCAGAGGUGUGUGGAGCUGAGCACUGUCCUCACACCUCAUGGCUGCAAAGGCUGGAAUUGCCCAGGGUUAGAGCAGUGAGCCCUGGUCAGGCUGUGCCUGGAUGCUGUAAGCACAGCACAUACCUUGCAGGCUAAAAGCAAACGGGCAUUUGGAGGCACUAAGACACCCUGAACUCACUUAUCAGAAGAAAGGAGCUUGGCAGACUCCGAUCCUCCAUUAUCUCUGAUAGCAAUCAGCAGCUCUUAACAUCUCCACACUCAGCAAAAUCUCCUUUUCCUUCUCCUGAGGGGAAGAGAAGGUGGAGGUAUAGAGAAUAAUUGAUCCUGCGGCAGCAGAAAGGGGGGAGAAGGGUUAAAAUCAUAAACGAUGCAAUGCACGCAGCGCGGCUGAUUGCCAUUUCCACGUGGUGACUGAUGAGCAGGAAGACUUGGCUCAGCUAUGACUUGGGUGCAUUCUUUUGGCAAAGUAUAAGAGAUGCAAAGUGGGAUGUCCCCGUGGGCACCCCUAGCAGGACCCCGGGCAGAGCAGAGCCCCAGAAAAGAUGAAAGAAGCCACGAUGCAACAGGCACAGGGCGCCUUCCCCAGCUGGGCAUCGGCAGCAAACUUGGACAUCUCUGUUAAAAAAAUAAAACGGGAAUGCGUGAGACGAUGCCUAUUUCUAGCUGCGGCUCCUCCCCUGUGCAUUUGGCCUCCCAGCGACUCAGUAAUUCAAGGCACUGCUUUUGGAGCUAUAAACAGAGCCCAAGUGGGACUGCCAUUGCUGAGCAGACAAACAAGGGCAGAGCACAGAGUGAGCCUGUGGGGGCGGGGGGCUCUGCAGCUGCAGCAAAGGGACCAGAAGCGUGUGUACCUUUGCACCCUCCAGACAAGUGUUUACCUCCACAAAAGCAGCCAGUCCUUGCUAGCUCUGUAAGAACAUUUCAUUCCCAUUUGUGAAGUAAACAAAGUGCUUUUUGCUGGGAAAGCAUGGGAUCUCCAUCAGGUUACAGACUGGGAACGACGCCACCAACAGAGGUUUUCCCAGGCAGCACAGAAGUCAAGGACUUCCUCUCCCCCCCUCCAGCCAUGCCUUCUGACCUUCCCACAUCACCAGAGGAAGGGCGACUUCUGAUGGGAGCACUUCUGGAGACUGUGGGAUGUGACAUGGGACAUGAUACGGGAUGUGACAUGAUGUCAGACACUGCAGGUGCUGGUAACAUCAGCAUGGGUGAUGGCAGCCACGUGGAGCUGGACUGCGAGGUCCUUGGGGGUCCCUUCCACACCAGGAUACUCCAGGACUCGGGGCUGUCAGGAGAAAUGGGGACAAUCCUUGGGUGUGUGCAGCAGCGUGCUUUGUACUUACAGAACCCUGUAUGCUUGUCCACUUUAUGUGAACACAAUGACUGGAAAACACUAUUUUCCAGCCAGCAUCUGCUAAUUAAAAUAAAAAGCAAUGCCAUACACUCUCUAGAGAGCUCUAGGCUGCUUGCAUGGAAUAAAAGAGACAAAUGUUAACAAUAACAGCAAGUCUCCAGCCCUGCCCUGAUGAGAGAAGCCUGUGCUCCCAAUGGGUUCCUUUGUUUGCAGCAACUUGCCUCCUCGUUCUGCAUGGUAAAUAUUUAAUGUGCCAUCUCGGGCAGCCCAGCUGCUGGGAGAAAAGUGCUUUUGGGGUCUGUGUCUGUGGGCCAUGAGGCAAAGCAAAAAGUAGGGGGUGAGAACCAUGGGGCCCAAAGGACACCCCACAGCCCAUGGCAACGCUGGGUGCCCUCGGAUGGAUGUGCACACAAAUGUGGUCCGUGCAGGGAGCGAUGCCAUCAAACUGAGAUGGAGUGUAAAACCAGGUAGCAGUCGGGCUAUGACAAAAGUAGGAGGCAAAAUUAUGAAAGUCCUGCAGAACAAUGGUUGCAGCUCUGGUAAUGAGAGAAUGCAAUGGUGCCUGCCUGUCCCAGCACCAAACCAGCACAAGGGGCUGAAGGGCAGGCAAGGAUGGACCAGCAUGCACGUGCUGAGCCCCAUGGGCAGGUGCAGACACAGCUGGAGGUGACGCACCAGUGGGCACACUCACCUGGAGGUGUCCCUGGCUGGGAUCCCCAGGAGCCCAGAAAUGCCUCCACCAAAGGAGGAACUGAAAUUCUGCCGUUACAAAAGGAAGCUGCAUGUGCUGGCACAUAAAAUAUUAAAUGUCUGCACACAGCUUUGAGCCGGGAACUUUGCCUUCUGUAUGCAGGCAGGGGUAAUUUACCUGCCACCCUGAUUAGCCCAGAACAGCAAGCAACACACAGCCAUGGCCAGCAGCCGCCAGGGACGCGCACAUCCAGGCUGCAACCCUGCUGAUUGCCUGCCCCCACCAGACACUCUGUCCCCAGGAAGUUUUCCUAGUUAGUGACUGGGCAAAAUGAAUCAGGGGAACAGGGUCCGGCCCCCCUCUGCUCCUCGAGCUGCUGCAUCACCCAGGCUGAGGUCAUGGCAGCAGGACUGGGGUGUCCCGACUGCUCCAGCCAGAUCCCUUCAGGAUUAGGUGGGUUUAAAUUGAUUCUAUGCACCUAUGCAUAGCAGACAUUGAGCUGUAAAACUGGAGGUGACCAGGGAGCACGGGGUCUCGCUGUGUCUCAACAGCUCCACCAGCACCUCCUUGUGCUGCCAUCCAUGGCCCCAUCUGCUCCCUGCGCCCACUCUCUGAGUCCAGCAUCACAGAAAAACUUCAGUUAUUUCUGCAUGGAUUUAAGAAAUAAAAAAACCCACCACCCUAGAUUUCAUUAAGGGAAAGGCAGACCUCAUGCAGCUAAUUUGGGAGAAGAAAAACUAUUUUCUUUCACACAGGCGAAGCCGUGGGGAUGGAAAUAAGUUCCUAAGUAAGACUCGCUGAAAGGAGCCGGGAUGACUCAUUUCUUCACUGCUGAAGCUGUAUUCACUCCCAGGCACCUCUAAUUCCUAUUACAACAAAAGACACCGGGAGUAUUGGGGAUCACUCAGGACAAGGCACAAGAGCUCGAUUUCCUGUAGAUGAAAGAGCAGAGAAUUAAUCCCCUGUAUCACCGGCUCCCCCAGGAUGGGCUCAGCUGGCUUCAUCCCUCACCCUCCACAGGCAGGAGC